GACGAACGCUGGCGGCGUGCCUAAUACAUGCAAGUUGAGCGCUGAAGGUUGGUACUUGUACCAACUGGAUGAGCAGCAAACGGGUGAGUAACGCGUGGGGAAUCUGCCUUUGAGCGGGGGACAACAUUUGGAAACGAAUGCUAAUACCGCAUAAAAACUUUAAACACAAGUUUUAAGUUUGAAAGAUGCAAUUGCAUCACUCAAAGAUGAUCCCGCGUUGUAUUAGCUAGUUGGUGAGGUAAAGGCUCACCAAGGCGAUGAUACAUAGCCGACCUGAGAGGGGGAUCGGCCACAUUGGGACUGAGACACGGCCCAAACUCCUACGGGAGGCAGCAGUAGGGAAUCUUCGGCAAUGGACGAAAGUCUGACCGAGCAACGCCGCGUGAGUGAAGAAGGUUGUCGGAUCGUAAAACUCUGUUGGUAGAGAAGAACGUUGGUGAGAGUGGAAAGCUCAUCAAGUGACGGUAACUACCCAGAAAGGGACGGCUAACUACGUG
rnacentral:rRNA from 1 species